rnacentral:rRNA from 1 species
GUAGGGAAUAUUGGGCAAUGGAUGCAAGUCUGACCCAGCCAUGCCGCGUGGAGGAAGAAGGUCCUCUGGAUUGUAAACUCCUUUUUUGGGGGAAGAAUAGUUCUCUUGCGAGGGAAUGUUACGGUACCCUAAGAAUAAGCCACGGCUAACUACGUGCCAGCAGCCGCGGUAAUACGUAGGUGGCAAGCGUUGUCCGGAUUUAUUGGGUUUAAAGGGUGCGUAGGUGGUUUGAUAAGUCAGUGGUGAAAGCUGGUUGCUCAACAAUCAAGUUGCCAUUGAUACUGUCGGACUUGAGAGAAGUGGAGGUUCAUGGAAUGGAUGGUGUAGCGGUGAAAUGCAUAGAUAUCAUCCAGAACGUCGAUUGCGAAGGCAGUGGGCUGUACUUUAUCUGACACUGAGGCACGAAAGUGUGGGGAUCAAACAGGAUUAGAUACCCCUGUAGUCC